AUGUAGAUCAUCACAGGAAAUGUCUGUGGUUACACUCGUCUCUCAGGUUAGACAUUGUUCCAGUUUUACCAGAAAUUUUGACGAACACAGCCGGCAGAACCUUCUCCUCCGUCAGCAGGUGUCUGUCACCGUGGAACAUCCGUGACCAAGCAGGCUUCUGGACCUGGCUGUUCUGAGCAAAGCCAAGUCAUCGCUAUG
rnacentral:lncRNA from 1 species